rnacentral:tRNA from 1 species
CAGGACGUGGCUGAGAUAGUUAAGCGGCUCCCUUACACCGAGCAGACACCCAUGCAAGUUGGGUCGCCCUGA